AGUCGAGGGGUAUAGUUCUUCGGAAUUAGAGACCGGCGCACGGGUGCGUAACGCGUAUGCAAUCUACCUUUUACAGAGGGAUAGCCCAGAGAAAUUUGGAUUAAUACCUCAUAGUAUUACGAAAUGGCAUCAUUUUGUAAUUAAAGUCACAACGGUAAAAGAUGAGCAUGCGUCCCAUUAGCUAGUUGGUAAGGUAACGGCUUACCAAGGCUACGAUGGGUAGGGGUCCUGAGAGGGAGAUCCCCCACACUGGUACUGAGACACGGACCAGACUCCUACGGGAGGCAGCAGUGAGGAAUAUUGGACAAUGGGCGCAAGCCUGAUCCAGCCAUGCCGCGUGCAGGAUGACGGUCCUAUGGAUUGUAAACUGCUUUUAUACGAGAAGAAACACUCCGACGUGUCGGAGCUUGACGGUAUCGUAAGAAUAAGGAUCGGCUAACUCCGUGCCAGCAGCCGCGGUAAUACGGAGGAUCCAAGCGUUAUCCGGAAUCAUUGGGUUUAAAGGGUCCGUAGGCGGUUUAAUAAGUCAGUGGUGAAAGCCCAUCGCUCAACGGUGGAACGGCCAUUGAUACUGUUAAACUUGAAUUAUUAGGAAGUAACUAGAAUAUGUAGUGUAGCGGUGAAAUGCUUAGAGAUUACAUGGAAUACCAAUUGCGAAGGCAGGUUACUACUAAUGGAUUGACGCUGAUGGACGAAAGCGUGGGUAGCGAACAGGAUUAGAUACCCUGGUAGUCCACGCCGUANACGAUGGAUACUAGCUGUUGGAAGCAAUUUCAGUGGCUAAGCGAAAGUGAUAAGUAUCCCACCU
rnacentral:rRNA from 1 species